AAUCCCUGGCAACAGGCAAAGAGACACCUUCUUGGUGUUGUACUUAUAUCAGUCAGGGCCAGAGCACAUGGCACUCCUUUGUUCAUCCUAGCUUGAUGCCUGGCAUAGUGGCUAACACUAUUUUAUGCCUAGGACUCAUAA